AAACUAGGAUUAGAUACCCUAUUAUUCUAAUUGAUUGAUCUUGAAGGAGUAAGGUAGGAAGCUAAAAUUAAAUAAUUUGGCGGUGACUUAACUUUACAGAGGAACUUGUCCUGUUGUUGAUGGACCUCAAUAUAUCUAACUCUUUCUUAUGUUUGUAUACCGUUGUUGUUAGAUUACCUUUAGAGAGGGGAAGAGUAUUCAUUGUAAGUUUUAGGCUUUUACUUAAAAUCAAGGUGUAGUGUAUGGAAGAGGUUGAGAUGAGUUACAUUUAAAGUGAUUAGUGGAGGGGGGUUUGAAAAGCUUUCUGAAAUUGGAUUUGUUAGUAAGUUUAUUAAGGUAAUGAGUUGUUAUGAAUGAAGCUCUAGGUCAUGUACACAUCGCCCGUCGCUCUUA
rnacentral:rRNA from 1 species